CCUACGGGAGGCAGCAGUGGGGGAUAUUGCACAAUGGGGGAAACCCUGAUGCAGCGACGCCGCGUGGGCGAAGAAGUAUUUCGGGAUGUAAAGCCCUAUCAGCAGGGAAGAAGAAAUGAUGGUACCUGAGUAAGAAGCACCGGCUAACUACGUGCCAGCAGCCACGGUAAUACGGAGGGGGCAAGCGUUAUCCGGAUUUACUGGGUGUAAAGGGAGCGUAGACGGCAGUGCAAGUCUGGAGUGAAAGGCGGGGGCUCAACCCCCGGACUGCACUGGAAACUGUACGGCUGGAGUGCAGGAGAGGUAAGUGGAAGUCCUAGUGUAGCGGUGAAAUGCGUAGAUAUUAGGAGGAACACCAGUGGCGAAGGCGGCUUACUGGACUGUAACUGACGUUGAGGCUCGAAAGCGUGGGGAGCAAACAGGAUUAGAUACCCCUGUAGUC
rnacentral:rRNA from 1 species